rnacentral:lncRNA from 1 species
UUCUGAUUCUGGUACAUGUUCCUCACUGCAACCAUCCUCGCAUUGGGGAAUAGUCAGUAAUGAUUUUUAUAUACAAAUAUUGAAUAGGAACUUAGAAUUGAAGAAAUACCUCGGCGUUACAAGAUCUGAAUUCUCAUUUUCGAGGUCUACACAGCUGUAAUUGAUGUUUAAGAAUAAAUUAUUAAUAGUUUCCAUAAACCUGUGCAAUAAAUCAUUCUUUACCUUUGUAAAUAAAUUUGUUCUUAAUGAAAUGAAAAAACUAAAAAUAUAUUGACAAAGUUACAUGUUGGUGCAAUGAUCUUUCUCUUCCUCGUAAUUCUGUAAGUUCAUCAAUGUUUCUCCAACGUCUAAUUGAAAUUUAGUAAUUAUAUAACAUUUUCCAAGUUUGGGUAUUCAAUAAAAUUCAUCAAAAUUGAAUGAAAAUACACGUCAUUAACUCAUUAUUACCGUAGGAUGCAGAUUCGGUAAUGUAGUCGUUUUCCUGCGAAGAAUUUUAGUUAUGACCUUAUAUAGUUAAUAUAAAUAAAAAAAUUAUUUCACGAUAACCUGCGAAAUAAUGGUGUCCAUGAUAUUACCUGUUAAAAAAAUUAAUUGGGGAAAUCUAUAUGAAUCAUCAUUUAGAAACAUAUAAUAAAAUUCGAAACAUCGCAGAAAUUUUUGUUUCAAACCAUAUGAUGGCAUGAUGCAUAGCUUGAUUUUCAUGUUUUGAAAUACGAAAUCACAGUUAAAAAAUAGAUAUUCUGGGUUAGAACAGUUCUGGAAUUGAUAAUUUACAUCUCAAUCUGAACAAUCAUUUGCAUCUGAUUAUCUGGAAAUAGUUUAAGAAAUAUGAAUAUAGAUUGAUAAGUUCAACAGUGCAUUACCAAAACUCAGUAGUUGUGGAAAUGUAAAACUCAACAGGUAUGGAAAUGUUUUGGUAUUUUUUUAUGCCUAAUUCGAGUAGUAAAUGCAUAGGGUAUAACUAAUUCGAGUUGUAAUUGGGAAUCCAAAAAUCAUAGUUAUUAUCUACUUUUCUUCUGACAUGUUUAUUUAAAAUUUAUAUUGAAUUUCCUGAAAACACCAAGAACACUGAUUUUUUGGAAGGACUCCGCUUUUCAGGAACGGAAGUGAUAGACGAUAUUGAGAUAGCUGCAAAGGUUCCUCGUAAUCUGGUCGAGGUAUGGGUGGUGGAUGUAUUACGCUCCUUGGCAGGUAAGGAUAGAUGUGGAUAGGAGACUUAAUUAAUACAUUUUUUACCCCUUGAAGAUUCUCCUUCAUUCAAUGAUUUCCUUUUGAAUGGCCAAUGUCCCCGCAUUUCUGAAAGACGCGUGGAAGAUCCAGUUGUUGGAGGGACCCUAGUGCAGGAGAAGGUGGAAUCAGGAUCGGAGAAUUAGCAAUUGUCCCAUUUUCUGAUUUAUCAUCACUGAUCAUAAUCACCUCAUACACAUCGUCAUCAGUCCUCCUCAUGGGGUUGUUGCCUUGCACGUUUCUCUUCCGAGAACUCAUUCCUACUCAACAAAUGUAACAUAUUUCAUCACAAUCUCAUAUAAAUGUAACCAUAAGGGCUUCAUUAUAUAAUAUCUAAGAAGAUAUCAACAAUAAUAUACACCUCAUUAACUAGAAAUAGUUAUAAAAAAUCGAUUAUAGAUUUCCAAACAUACAUUUUCAAGCCUGGAAGAAUGUAAUUAUUGGAAUCGAAAAACAAUUAUCUGGAAUUAGUAAUUUUCAGAUUUUCUUCAUCCAAUUAGUAAUUUAGUCAAACCGGUAAUGUUAAAAUUUGUACAGGGAAAAAAAACAAUGCUGGGCAUGGUCUAAUUUUCAACAAAUUAAGUAGUAAUAAAAUCUACGAAACUCUGAAAACUAGGUCGGCGAAAACCUUGAACACAUAAUGUGAUUCAAUAUCAAAACAGACAAACAAAAAACUAAACAUAGAAAAUCGAUAUUGGUAAAAUAAUACUAAAAACCUGGGAGAAACGAAACCUUUAGAUGAAUCGAUAGAUAUUAUGGCCGAAUAACUUUUCCGAUGUUCUCAAAAUACAGCCACGACGAAUGUUUAAAUAGAGCAAAACCUAUACCGCUGUAAUGAUGAAAUCCCUGUCAUCGAUCGUCGGCCCAGAGCACGUCGCCGUCGGAAGGCAUGGUUAGGCCCAUGGGCGUAUCUAGGGGGGGCAAGGGAGGGCAAUUG